rnacentral:rRNA from 1 species
CAAGUCGAACGGCAGCACAGGAGAGCUUGCUCUCUGGGUGGCGAGUGGCGGACGGGUGAGGAAUACAUCGGAAUCUACUCUGUCGUGGGGGAUAACGUAGGGAAACUUACGCUAAUACCGCAUACGACCUACGGGUGAAAGCAGGGGAUCUUCGGACCUUGCGCGAUUGAAUGAGCCGAUGUCGGAUUAGCUAGUUGGCGGGGUAAAGGCCCACCAAGGCGACGAUCCGUAGCUGGUCUGAGAGGAUGAUCAGCCACACUGGAACUGAGACACGGUCCAGACUCCUACGGGAGGCAGCAGUGGGGAAUAUUGGACAAUGGGCGCAAGCCUGAUCCAGCCAUACCGCGUGGGUGAAGAAGGCCUUCGGGUUGUAAAGCCCUUUUGUUGGGAAAGAAAUCCAGCUGGCUAAUACCCGGUUGGGAUGACGGUACCCAAAGAAUAAGCACCGGCUAACUUCGUGCCAGCAGCCGCGGUAAUACGAAGGGUGCAAGCGUUACUCGGAAUUACUGGGCGUAAAGCGUGCGUAGGUGGUCGUUUAAGUCCGUUGUGAAAGCCCUGGGCUCAACCUGGGAACUGCAGUGGAUACUGGGCGACUAGAGUGUGGUAGAGGGUAGCGGAAUUCCUGGUGUAGCAGUGAAAUGCGUAGAGAUCAGGAGGAACAUCCAUGGCGAAGGCAGCUACCUGGACCAACACUGACACUGAGGCACGAAAGCGUGGGGAGCAAA